AGAGUUUGAUCAUGGCUCAGAAUCAACGCUGGCGGCGUGCCUAACACAUGCAAGUCGAACGAGAAAAUGGAGCAAUCCAUGAGUAAAGUGGCGCACGGGUGAGUAACACGUGACUAACCUACCCUUGAGUGGGGGAUAACCUGGGGAAACCUUGGCUAAUACCGCAUAACACCUACGGGUCAAAGGAGCAAUUCGCUUAAGGAGGGGGUCGCGGCAGAUUAGUUAGUUGGCGGGGUAAUGGCCCACCAAGACAGUGAUCUGUAUCCGGCCUGAGAGGGCGCACGGACACACUGGAACUGAAACACGGUCCAGACUCCUACGGGAGGCAGCAGUGGGGAAUUUUGCGCAAUGGGGGAAACCCUGACGCAGCAACGCCGCGUGGAGGAUGAAGUCCCUUGGGACGUAAACUCCUUUCGACCGGGACGAUAAUGACGGUACCGGAAGAAGAAGCCCCGGCUAACUUCGUGCCAGCAGCCGCGGUAAUACGAGGGGGGCGAGCGUUGUUCGGAAUUAUUGGGCGUAAAGGGUGCGUAGGCGGUUCGGUAAGUUUUGUGUGAAAUCUUCGGGCUUAACUCGAAGCCUGCACAAGAUACUGCCGGGCUAGAGUGUGGGAGAGGUGAGUGGAAUUUCCGGUGUAGCGGUGAAAUGCGUAGAUAUCGGAAGGAACACCUGUGGCGAAAGCGGCUCACUGGACCACAACUGACGCUGAUGCACGAAAGCUAGGGGAGCAAACAGGAUUAGAUACCCUGGUAGUCC
rnacentral:rRNA from 1 species